rnacentral:lncRNA from 1 species
CAGCUACUAUACUCUUAUGAGUACGAUCGCUUUCGUACUCAUAAGUUGUUUUCGAUGAUAGAGCUUCCAAAUUGACGAUCCAUACCGUUAAACAUUAUUUAGAGCAUUUAAAAUUCUAGAAAUCAAAUUUUAAGAUUUUUCGAUAUCAUUUACCUUACGAUCAAAAUCUCACAAAGUUGAAAAUUUUUAACAGCCGGUAUGGGAUACUUGCUAGUUUAACGGUCUAAAAGAAUCAGAAUAGGUUAAAGUUUUGAUAGAAAAUUCUAUUCACUACCUAGAUAAAGAUCAAUAACUCCGAUCGUAAAUUGAAGGAUCAGAUCGUCCAUUUUUAGGAUGUCGUUCGAUUUUGACCAUUCAUUUAAUACCCGCUUGAUGGACUUUAUAAUAAUUUCGAAAAAUUACAAAAUUUAUUUUCUAGAAGUUUCAAAUACCCUAGAUCAUGUUUAACGAUGUGGAUCGUCAAUUCGAAAGCCCCAACAUAAAAAACAACUUAUGAGUACAAAGGG